rnacentral:rRNA from 1 species
CCUACGGGUGGCAGCAGUGAGGAAUAUUGGUCAAUGGCCGAGAGGCUGAACCAGCCAAGUCGCGUGAGGGAAGACGGCCCUACGGGUUGUAAACCUCUUUUGUCGGGGAGCAAAGAGAGUCACGUGUGACGCAUUGAGAGUACCCGAAGAAAAAGCAUCGGCUAACUCCGUGCCAGCAGCCGCGGUAAUACGGAGGAUGCGAGCGUUAUCCGGAUUUAUUGGGUUUAAAGGGGGCGCAGGCGGAGGUGCAAGUCAGCGGUAAAAUUGAGGGGCUCAACCCCGUACGGCAGUUGAAACUGCAUCCCUUGAGUGCGCGAGAAGUAUGCGGAAUGCGUGGUGUAGCGGUGAAAUGCAUAGAUAUCACGCAGAACUCCGAUUGCGAAGGCAGCAUACCGGCGCGCAACUGACGCUCAUGCACGAAAGCGUGGGUAUCGAACAGGAUUAGAUACCCGAGUAGUC